rnacentral:rRNA from 1 species
UACAGAGGCCCCCAAGCGUUACUGAGAAUCACUGGGUUUAAAGGGAGCGUAGGUGGCCUGCUAAGUCAGUGGUGAAAUCUCUGGGCUUAACCCAGAAAUUGCCAUUGAUACUGGUGGGCUUGAGUGCAGUUGCUGUUGGCGGAAUAUGACAUGUAGUGGUGAAAUACAUAGAGAUGUCAUAGAACACCGAUUGCGAAGGCAGCUAACAAAACUGUAACUGACACUGAGGCUCGAAAGUGUGGGGAUCAAACAGG